rnacentral:rRNA from 1 species
UACGAAGGGGGGCUAGCGUUGCUCGGAAUCACUGGGCGUAAAGGGUGCGUAGGCGGGUCUUUAAGUCAGGGGUGAAAUCCUGGAGCUCAACUCCAGAACUGCCUUUGAUACUGAGGAUCUUGAGUUCGGGAGAGGUGAGUGGAACUGCGAGUGUAGAGGUGAAAUUCGUAGAUAUUCGCAAGAACACCGGUGGCGAAGGCGACACACUGGCCCGUUACUGACGCUGAGGCGCGAAAGCGUGGGGAGCAAACAGG